rnacentral:rRNA from 1 species
AGACGAACCGGACGAACGUUAUUCGGAAUUACUGGGCUUAAAGAGUGCGUAGGCGGCUUUGUAGGUUGGGUGUGAAAUCCCACAGCUCAACUGUGGAACUGCGCUCAAAACCACAAGGCUUGAGGAAGGUAGAGGUAAGCGGAACUGAUGGUGGAGCGGUGAAAUGCGUUGAUAUCCUAAGGAACACCGGUGGCGAAGGCGGCUCACUGGAUCUCUUCUGACGCUGAGGCACGAAAGCUAGGGUAGCGAACGGGAUUAGAAACCCCGGUAGUCC